AGAAGAGGGCGUGGUAUGUAACGUAGGCUGUUGUGUCUGCACUUCAGCAACAUUGAAUCCAAGCUAAAUGCACAAACUUUACUUUGUGUUGUGUUUUUCAAAGUUUUGAGUGAUGAGUUGCGGCAACGUCAAUGCGGACCCGGGGGCGUGUAGCCUACGUGUUUGUCCAACCGCACUGGGCUGGCAGCGCAGACAGGAAACUCGGUAGUUAGUGCAGCAACUCGAACUGCACAGAGCCAGCUCUGAAUAUGUCUGAACAUUCUGCCAAUUAGCGUCCCCUGAGGAGCCUUCUAGUACUAACGCGGUACCCUUCGUCUAAACAUAUGACCUAGAUUCAUGGCAUGGCGUAACCGUGUCAAUCAUUUUGGCGGUUACCGUGACGGUUACGGAUCAUCCUAGAGAAGGCUACUGAGGGAUGCUUUCUGUGGUGGGCAGUUUUGCGAGGCUACCCGGAUUCCACAGCAAAGAGAACUGCACCGCCCACCCCUCCCUCUACGACCAUCGUCUUUGCCCUAUAUCUCCGUCUUUCCGUAUUCCCUUUGCUUUCCUUCCUAUGCACCGAAAUGACACUCGUGAACAGGAUCACUGCACCUUCACUAAGCGUCCCCCCUGCCCUUACGCUAAACCUACCUCAAAACCGACACGCGGGAGAGGCAGGGUCGGCUAAAGAUAUAUUGAAAAAAAAAAUCGUGUAGAGGUAGACGUCUCAACAUAGAGGAAAUCUGUGUCGAUGUAGCGAUAGCGUUUUCAAGUUCCGUGUGGGAUUAGAAGUCUCAUUCGGAGGUUUCUUUCUUUUGUGCGCGAUCCAAAGGUGAAACAGUGUGAAAUUAUAGUUUUUGUCAUCACCUAACACAGAGGGAUUCUUAAAGGGAUAGUAGCAUGCAGCAACUCGCCUUCGGAGGUGUCACCGUUCGAUUGCCCGUAUCUUGAAAUGUAAGCAUAUAAAUUAUGCCGCGAAAACCUGCAUUGUUAUCACGAAAAUUAAUUUUCAGAUAAUCAUAUCCGCAUUCUCAACAUAAAAGUCACUUGGCAACAACAGCUACAGGUUAGGUUCUGCGGAAUCUCAGCUGAUUGGUUGUUUGAGAGGCCCCGGAUGAUGCCUGAGCAGACGACGUAUACUGCUAGUGUUCCCGCGUCUGCUUCCGUCCCGAGUCCGAAGCUUCAGAGUGUUUAUAAUUGCUGUAGGCGGCAUUUGUUGUCAAGGAUGACGGAUGAUAAUGUCUGCAGUGUGCUUUACACUGUAAGAAUACCUCAACGAGGAAUCCGAACAUUUCGUUUUACCAUACCCUAGACGAGGAUGUGCGGAGCGAAAGUGGUAACCUACGAUUGCGUGCUAUCAUUACUGAUUGCCCCAACUUUGCACUUUCCUGCGUGCUAUCAACCGUGGGAUAAAACUGAAAACAGCGUCUCGUGUAUGUUCGAUGCACUUCUCAGACGACGCGUACGUUACGACGUAGUGACAUCUUCAAAGCAAGACUGAGUGUGCCACCGACAAGGAAGAAAAGAAAAAGUCGUUAAAAGCGAUGUUGUGCCGACCGUCUUUUUAUGACUCCUGUGGAGAACAUAUAUGAAGAAUGAAACCCGUGCAACAACAACAACAACUUUAUUUCCGACCUUGGAGAGUGGGGAGCUUCAUCGCCACAGGCGAUACUCUACCCCAUUGCUGAAACCCAUGCAUAUUCCAAGCACAUCGAUGGACAUUCGCACGUGGCACAGUGGCAGCUGCUCAGACUAGGUUCAUUCAACGCCUCAAGACAGACUGGUGUGAGUCUCAAUCCCUCCUGUGCACUCUCCCUAAUAUCGGAUCAGCUCAGUGCCCUGGUAAUUUAUGGCACAAAGGACACCUGUACAAGGGUGCUGCAACUGGAAACAACUGCAACUCACAAUACAUCAGCACUGCACAGUGUUGAGCAGCGGCUUCCGUAUCUGCAUACUUGAUACCGCUGUACCAUCUGAGGGGGAGGAGCAUGCCACACCUCGUUCUCUGCCUGCAGAAUCCCUGCGAACAAGCCAAAUGCUAUACACAGGUGCUGGAGCUCAUACGGUGCUGUCCUAUGUUCAAGAUCACCAACGAAGCUCCGGAUGUUGAAGUGCUCCCUGCUCGUGCAUGUGGUGGCAAACUGUUACUUGCAGAAUCUGUGGAGCAACAGAGUGAAGGGUUCCAUAAGUGAAGAGUUCAAUGCUGCUGAACCACCCGUGUGUGCCACUCUGAGACCUACCACCACAGCUAUUCAAAACGGCCCUUUUGAGGAGACCCCAUGCUUCUACAAGGGGAUAGCACUGCAAGAAGAACCUAAGUGCAUUCAGUUAAGCUUUGUGUCUGUCUGUUAUUUGUUGGAUACCUGCAUUUUCACUACAACUAUCAAAAAAGCUACACUAGUGCUGCAGUUGCAGAAAUAUAUUGGCUUCGAUUUCCCCUUUUGGUCCGAGCAAGCAAAAAUUUCAAAACGGCAUCUAUAGUGACCUAAUAUGUGUCUAUCCCAAUAAAUGGUACAUCCUCAGACAACAUAUUACUCAAUUAGGUAUGCACACCCAAAGUAGGUAUGCAUCAAGGGAAGUAACAGGCAGCAAAGCACAUCUGAGAAAAUGGAAUAUGAACGUGCAAAAUUUCAUUUUUCCUGAACGUCAAGGUUUGCACAAGGACGGUUUUGAGUAGGAUCUGAUGGGAGAUAUAUCUCUGUGAAAUGAAGCUGGCAAUUCUGUUUCGUUGUUUACAUACCGACCAUUGCAGCUGCACUGUUUUAAUUUGUCUACCAUGGCUUCAACAAACUCAUUUCUGCACAGUUUCACAAGGCUGAAGAUUUUCAGAACUCCUUAUUGUGUAGAUGCUGCAUACAUAACAUAACAUAACACUUUAUAUAAUGGUUGAAAUACUAGCAGAAAAUUCGACUGUCCUGUAGAUUACUCAUAAUUCAAGGGAAUACGUACCACUUGGAAUAAAUUUGAAAGAGAUGCGUCAGAUCUCUACAGCUGUAAAUUAGUUUUCUGUCCAACUUCAUUAUCUUGAUUGUCAAACAUUAUAUUGUCUGCCAUGAAAUAAUAGCUAUUUGUGGUUUGAA